rnacentral:rRNA from 1 species
AGUGAACGCUGGCGGUAGGCCUAACACAUGCAAGUCGAACGGCAGCACAGUAAGAGCUUGCUCUUACGGGUGGCGAGUGGCGGACGGGUGAGGAAUACAUCGUAAUCUACUUUUUCGUGGGGGAUAACGUAGGGAAACUUACGCUAAUACCGCAUACGACCUACGGGUGAAAGCAGGGGAUCUUCGGACCUUGCGCGAUUGAAUGAGCCGAUGUCGGAUCAGAUAGUUGGCGGGGUAAAUGCCCACCAAGGCGACGAUCCGUAGCUGGUCUGAGAGGAUGAUCGGCCACACUGGAACUGAGCCACGGUCCAGACUACUACGGGAGGCAGCAGUGGGGAAUAUUGGACAAUGGGCGCAAGCCUGAUCCAGCCAUACCGCGUGGGUGACGAAGGCCUUCGGGUUGUAAAGCCCUUUUGUUGGGAAAGAAAAGCAGCAGGUUAAUACCCCGCUGUUCUGACGGUACCCAAAGAAUAAGCACCGGCUAACUUCGUG